UACGUAGGGUGCAAGCGUUGUCCGGAAUUAUUGGGCGUAAAGAGCUAGUAGGCGGUUUGUCGCGUCUGCUGUGAAAACUCGGGGCUUAACUCCGGGCCUGCAGUGGGUACGGGCAGACUAGAGUGCGGUAGGGGAGACUGGAAUUCCUGGUGUAGCGGUGAAAUGCGUAGAUAUCUGGAGGAAUACCGGUGGCGAAGGCGGCAUCCUGGACCGACAUUGACGCUGAACGGCGAAAGCUAGGGGAGCAAACGGG
rnacentral:rRNA from 1 species